GAAAAGUCCUAGUGAUAAAACAGCACCUGGCCAAUAUUAUGUAAUAUCAGAAGCAAAUUGAUUAUUACAUGUAUUGGGUAGGAGCUGUUCAAGCUAUGGUUAAAUGGGU
rnacentral:pre_miRNA from 18 species